AACGAACGCUGGCGGCAGGCUUAACACAUGCAAGUCGAGCGCCCCGCAAGGGGAGCGGCAGACGGGUGAGUAACGCGUGGGAACGUACCCUUUGCUACGGAAUAGCUCCGGGAAACUGGACUUAAUACCGUAUGUGCCCUACGGGGGAAAGAUUUAUCGGCAAAGGAUCGGCCCGCGUUGGAUUAGCUAGUUGGUGGGGUAAUGGCCUACCAAGGCAACGAUCCAUAGCUGGUCUGAGAGGAUGAUCAGCCACAUUGGGACUGAGACACGGCCCAAACUCCUACGGGAGGCAGCAGUGGGGAAUAUUGGACAAUGGGCGCAAGCCUGAUCCAGCCAUGCCGCGUGAGUGAUGAAGGCCUUAGGGUUGUAAAGCUCUUUCACCGGAGAAGAUAAUGACGGUAUCCGGAGAAGAAGCCCCGGCUAACUUCGUGCCAGCCGCCGCUGUAACAC
rnacentral:rRNA from 1 species